rnacentral:rRNA from 1 species
AACACAACAACGAACUGACGUGGCGGCGGCCUACACAUGCAAGUCGAGCGGAGAGAGGUAGCUUGCUACUGAUCUUAGCGGGGACGUGAGUAAUGCUUAGGAAUCUGCCUAUUAGUGGGGGACAACAUUUCGAAAGGAAUGCUAAUACCGCAUACGUCCUACGGGAGAAAGCAGGGGAUCUUCGGACCUUGCGCUAAUAGAUGAGCCUAAGUCGGAUUAGCUAGUUGGUGGGGUAAAGGCCUACCAAGGCGACGAUCUGUAGCGGGUCUGAGAGGAUGAUCCGCCACACUGGGACUGAGACACGGACCAGACUCCUACGGGAGGCAGCAGUGGGGAAUAUUGGACAAUGGGCGCAAGCCUGAUCCAGCCAUGCCGAGUGUGUGACAGAAGGCCUUAUGGUUGUAAAGCACUUUAAGCGAGGAGGAGGCUACUUUACGUUAAUUACCUAGAGAUAGUGGAAGUUAACUCGCAGAAUAAGCACCGGCUAACUCUGUGCCAGCAGCCGCGGUAAUACAGAGGGUGCAAGCGUUACAUCGGAUUAACUGGGCGUAAAGCGCGCGUAAGCGGCUAAUAAGGGCAAUGUAAAAUCCCGAGCUAACUUGGGAAUGGCAUCGAUCUGGGAAGCCAAAGCGGCGCCAGAUGGACAAUCCCAGUUGUGCGGGAAUGGUAGAGAACGAGGAUACGAUGCGACGCGCAUUGGCCAAAUACUG